CUGCUGUAUCUUCUGUUGUAGAGGAGCCUGAUCAGACCACAGAUGAAGAAGCAGCUCCUCAGAUGAACUUCAGUGGUUCUCCUGCUGAAUGGCAGAAACCUGUCACUUCUGAAGGGACUGAGAAGACAGACCAGACGCAGCUGUUUGAUUUUCUGGCAAACCAGUUUAAUACCAUCAACAACACCCUGAAAUCAAUUGAUUUGUCUUUGAAGAAGCUGGUGGAGAAGGAAUCACAAAACACACUGCCUCAAUACAUCAGUCUAACUCCUGCUGUCAUUGAAAACCUCCAGAUUCAGUCCUCAGUCAAGGAGGAGCAAAUCACACAAGUUUUAAAUCAAUGAAGUAGACUUUGACACUGAACAGAGUUAGUACUGAGGAAGCAGGACUGUGAUCUGAGAGGUUAUGGUUUUAAAGACAGCUUCAAAAACUUGUGGUCUAAUUUGAACUUGAACUAGUGGUCUAAUGGUUUUUAAAAAUACAUGUAAGGUAUAUCCAUAGAUAUGUGAUCCCCCAUUUCUUAUAAAAGGCCAAUUCAGAAAUGGAUUUUAAAAAGCAAUCCCAUAUUAAAUUCUGAAUGUUAUGCACCUGU